GCAUGGAGGAUAUACCUGUUCCCAUUCCGAACACAGAAGUCAAGCUCCAUAGCGCCGA
rnacentral:rRNA from 1 species